GCCCAGUUUAAUCAAAGAUUUCACGCUGCUCUUUUUGGCUUUUAAACGAAAUGAGUUACUACAGACUGCGCGCGCACACACAAUGAUGCGCAUCAUUCAGUAAACAGAUGCAUUUCAAACGAGCAGUGAUAGGUUUAAUAUAUCAUCAGUCAAUCGCUGUAGCCACAUUUUCACAGACGGUGCCUUUUUCCGUGUGCUUGCACUUUAUAUUUACAUUUUCUGACGAAACAUAGAGCUGGCCGGGGCAACAGCGAUUUGUAAGCAAUACGAAAGGAGCAGAAAACUGCAGCGCCAAACAAACGUCGCUUUUAAUGAGCCCAGACGAGCUGAGCUUCACGAAGGGAAGGAAUGAAGUUUAGUACGCUGAUAUAAACUACAGAAUUAACAAGAAGAUCCCUUAGCAACAGGAAUUAAAACGUUAUUGCUGGAUGCGGCUGAGACUCAAGUAUUCAGUCGAGCCGAUGGUUCAACUUUGAGGAGGCUCUGCAGUGGACAUCGCUCGCGGGAAACGAUGAAGGCGAGAGGAAGCAGUGCAGACUCGAGGAGGCUGUGAGGUGAUGCUGUGACACAUUCAACAGCAUUCAGCGGAGUCAGCACGUUGUGUGACAUCUAUGGACUGCGGUGGUGGAUGUGAGCGAUCUGAGGAGCAUGGGGCCAGUAUUCGUUGAAGAACGGCGGUGCAUGGCAAUGGUUUUAAAGAGCACACCUCGAUCAGAGAAACCUACCAAGUACUAACUCUACUGGAUUUAACCCAAAGAGAGGCUGUUGAAAACCCAUGUGGUUUAGACAUUUCCGUCCCGGAUGUGGAUACUAGGCUUGUUUUAUGUGUCCAGCACAACAUAUCACCGGUGGUAGAUUGAUCCCCUAUUUCGUUACAGAUUUUUUAGAAGAUUUGUUCUCUUUCAGCACCCCUCCCCCCUUUUUUUGCACCUGCUUUGCGUUGUCAAAGCUUACCGAGCGCUUUAGAGCGCGCUGCUCUUACUUGCAUCUCCGAACAUCGUGCAUGGAUUCUACAUCAACUGGAGGUUUUGUGAGGGCUGCAGUGAUGCUCCCAUUUACUGGUAUCGCCUCACAGCUCGCACUUCCUGACAGAAAUGGACUGCCAAUAGAUUUUUGGGAAGAGAAAAU
rnacentral:lncRNA from 1 species